GUUAUCUAAAAUCAUAAAGUUAAUAUUAAAACGUUGUUUUUCGAGAAUUAAACCUUACCUAAAAAACUUAAUUUAGUGCUAGGGGUACUACAGAAGAAGAGGCGAUACGUAUAGUGUUUCGAAUUAAGGAUUCAGCGUAAAUUAAAAUGAAUGGUAAAUCAUAUCAGCUUGAUUAAAGUGCAUUAUAUUUACAGUAGAAGAAUAGAGCGAAAAUUUAGUUGCGACUGAUUCAACUGGUCUGUUUCUGUAUCGAUACUACGGGUGCAAGCUUAGGGGUCCUAGGAUAGUCAAGAUAAGCUGAGAUAACGUCGAAGGCUUUAGAAUCGGUACUAUCGGAAACGAGGCAUACCAAAUCUUUUUUGAGCUGCCACAAAUCCGUGCUGCUUCAGGAAGUUGGUACAAAUCCGAACAA